UACGUAGGGUGCGAGCGUUGUCCGGAAUUAUUGGGCGUAAAGGGCUCGUAGGCGGUUUGUCGCGUCGGGAGUGAAAACCAGGUGCUUAACACCUGGCUUGCUUUCGAUACGGGCAGACUAGAGGUAUUCAGGGGAGAACGGAAUUCCUGGUGUAGCGGUGAAAUGCGCAGAUAUCAGGAGGAACACCGGUGGCGAAGGCGGUUCUCUGGGACGUUACUGACGCUGAGACGCGAAAGCGUGGGGAGCAAACAGG
rnacentral:rRNA from 1 species